CUUUCUCAGUUGCCACUCACUCUUAAACUCCUUUAAUGUAGUCUAGGUUCUUCCUCCACUUCACUAAAACUGCCCUUUAUCUAGUAGCUUUGCUCAGUCCUGUGCAACAUGUGACCCUGUUGACCACCUUUUCCGCCUGGACACUGUCUUCUCCCUGUGCUUUGUGACAUUACUCUGUCAGAGCUCACUUCCUGCAGAAUCUUCCACUGGUUCCUCCCACUAGUGUAUCCCAGACCUGGGUUCCGGGCCUUCUCUUUCUUCUACAUGGUCUAUCUUGGUGAUCUCAUCAGUUGCCAUGGAGUUAACUGCCCUCUCUAUGCAAAUAACUUCUAAAUCAACACAUAUAUCCUCCAUAUCUGUCUUGUAUGUCUCCAACUGCCAGUUAGACAUUUCCAACCAGAUGUCUCAUAGGCAUAUCAGACUUACCAUGUUCAAAACAGAAUACAUCACCUUUCCCUCUAAGCCCACCUACUCCUGAUUCAACUUUUGCUGUCAAGGGCCCCAGGACCUUCCAGUCCCUCAGGUUUCCACCAUGAGAGUCAUCCGUAUUUCUUCACUGCCCAUUCCUCCACCCACAUAUUUGAUCAGGUAGUAAGUCUGGUCCAUUCUCCGCCUUCAAAACCUUUUACUUGCAUCUGAAGCCUUCCAUAAAUGCUUGUUCGGUGAUUGACACCUGUCUAGACAGAUUUCCAUUCUGAUUCAGAUGGACUCUCAGGUCCUCCCCAUUUUCAACAUAUUGGCUCUUCUCAGACAAACAUUAGCAUAUCUCCAAUUCAAUUACAGAAAGAUUUCUCUGGGUCAGGCCUAACCAAAGGUUGUCCAUGAACACACAAUCCCAAUUCAUUAGCCUGGAAAUACUCCAGUCAAGUUUUGCCAGAAAGUCAUCAGAUGUGAAAGGAAACUAAUUUGGAAAAAAAAAAUAUUUCUUUAUAUCUAUUUUUGCAGAGUCGCAUUGAUAUAUAUCUUUGACAAAACCCAGCAGGUUCUUCUGUUAAAGAUGUGCGCCAUUUCUUACAGACUCUUCAUUCAAAGAGGUUUGAAGCUUAUGACUGGGGAGUCCUGCUCUGAAUAUGAAGUAUUAUAAUCAGGCCUUCAGUUCUACCCUUUGGUAUAUUGUGCUUUUUUGAGCCCCAGCAUCUUCCACUUUAAAGUCAUCAAGGUUUCCGAGGACCUGCUGAGGAGAUUCAUACUGGAAAUUCCACUGUUUCUUCAGCAUGGGAGUUCUACUAAGAGUCGAAUCAUUCUUUCCUGGCAAUACCCAGUGGAAGAGUAUGAAGUUGAGACUGAAGAUUCAUAUAGACUCAGCCUUACAAGAGUUCCCUGUGGAAGAAUGGGCAAUAAUGUAUCCAGCAUUGAUCAGAUCAGAGGCUUGUCGUGUUUUUGCGGCAUGGUCUUUGGCAACAUCUACCACCUGGGUCUCCAACCUUCCCAACUGCAGCCUGGGCUUCAUUCUAGCAGAUGCAGGUUUUGAUGUGUGGAUGGGAAACAGCAGGGGGAGUACCUAUUCCCGGAAACAUGCCUUUUUGUCACCAGAUUCCAAAUAAUACUGGGCCUUCAGUGUUGAUGAAUUGGCUCGAUAUGACCUCCCAGCCUCAGUUGACUACACUGUGAGAAAAACUGGACAGAAGAUAUAUUAUGUGGGCCAUUCUCAGGGCAACCUUUUGGUUUCCUGGCAUUCUCCACCUUAUCCAAGCUGGCCCAGGAAGUCAAAGCUUUUUUUUGCCUCAGCUCCAAUCUUUUACCUUCAGCACAUCAAAAGCCUCCCAUUUCUACUGCUUUUGAAGCUGCCCACACCAUUGUUAAGGAGUCGAAUUGAUGUAUAUGUGGCACAUAAUCCAGGGGGAACAUCUAUCCAGAACAUUCUCCAUUUCUCCCAGGCUUUUCAUGAAAUUCGACAAAUACUGUCACCUUAUGACUGGAGGAGUCCCAAAGAGAAUUUAGCUCAUUAUAAUCAGACGAUUCCUCUAACUUACAACCUAUCAACAAUGAAAGUGCCAACUGCGCUGUGGAGUGGUCUAAGAGAUUUGAUGGCUGACCCAAAAGAUGUCUCCAGCUUAAUCCCCCAAAUCCCCAAGAUUAUUUACCACAAGAUUCUGCCUGCAUUUGAUCAUUUGGCUUUUGUUUUUGGUGUUGACGCACCUCAAACAAUUUACUAUGAAAUUAUCAAAAUGAUCAAGAAAACCCUGUGAAGAUGGGAUUGCUGGUGAAAUCACUUUCCUUUUCUGAGAGCUGGGGAUUGAACUUAUUUUCCCUUCUAUAACAUGGCUCUUGGAGGGAUAAUGGGAAUGUCUCCUUCAUUUAACUACACUGAUAGAAAUAAAUAAUUUUCAUCCUCA